CUGGUUGAUCCUGCCAGUAGUCAUAUGCUUGUCUCAAAGACUAAGCCAUGCAUGUCUAAGUAUAAAUGUUAUACAGUGAAACUGCGAAUGGCUCAUUAAAACAGUUAUAGUUUAUUUGAUAAUCGAAUUUUACAUGGAUAACCGUGGUAAUUCUAGAGCUAAUACAUGCUGGUUAGCCUGGCUUCUAGGAAGGGCUGUAUUUAUUAGAUAACAAACCAAUAUUCCUCGUGUCUAUUGUGAUGACUCAUAAUAACUGAUCGAAUCGCAUGGGCCUUGCCCGCGAUACAUCAUUCAAGUUUCUGCCCCAUCAGCUUUCGAUGGUAGUGUAUUGGACUACCAUGGCUUUAACGGGUAACGGAGGAUUAGGGUUCGAUUCCGGAGAGGGAGCCUGAGAAACGGCUACCACAUCUAAGGAAGGCAGCAGGCGCGUAAAUUACCCAAUCCUGACUCAGGGAGGUAGUGACAAGAAAUAACGGACCGAGGCUUCACGCUUCGGGAUUGCAAUGAGUAGAAUUUAAACCCCUUUAUGAGGAUCAAUUGGAGGGCAAGUCUGGU
rnacentral:rRNA from 1 species